rnacentral:rRNA from 1 species
GUUGUUCGGAAUUACUGGGCGUAAAGGGCUCGUAGGCGGCCAACUAAGUCGGAUGUGAAAUCCCCAGGCUUAACCUGGGAACUGCAUCCGAUACUGGAUGGCUUGAAUCCGGGAGAGGGAUGCAGAAUUCCAGGUGUAGCGGUGAAAUGCGUAGAUAUCUGGAGGAAUACCGGUGGCGAAGGCGGCAUCCUGGACCGGCAUUGACGCUGAUGAGCGAAAGCUAGGGGAGCAAACGGG